rnacentral:rRNA from 1 species
AAUCAACGCUGGCGGCGCGCUUAACACAUGCAAGUCGCACGAGAAAGUGGAGCAAUCCAUGAGUACAGUGGCGUACGGGUGAGUAACACGUGGAUCAUCUGCCUCUUGGUGGGGAAUAACCCUGGGAAACCGGGGCUAAUACCGCAUAAGCCUGCAAAGGGAAAGCAGCAAUGUGCCGAGAGAGGAGUCCGCGGCCGAUUAGCUAGUUGGUAGGGUAAUGGCCUACCAAGGCAAUGAUCGGUAGCCGGCCUGAGAGGGCACACGGCCACACUGGCACUGAAACACGGGCCAGACUCCUACGGGAGGCAGCAGUGGGGAAUCUUGCACAAUGGGGGCAACCCUGAUGCAGCGACGCCGCGUGAGCGAUGAAGCCCUUCGGGGUGUAAAGCUCUUUCGGCAGGAACGAUAAUGACGGUACCUGCAGAAGAAGCUGCGGCUAACUACGUGCCAGCAGCCGCGGUAAUACGUAGGCAGCAAGCGUUGUUCGGAAUUACUGGGCGUAAAGAGUGUGUAGG